CAAAGAAAUCCAGAGGGGCUAAUGUUUUUCCCCCCAUUAGACCAGGGAGGGGCAAACCACAACCUGCUGACCGAGUCUGGCACACUACCUGGUUUUGCACGGCCUGUAAGCUAAGACUUGGUUUAACAUUUUAAAUGGUUGAAAACAGACUGAGUGAGGAAUAAUAUUUCAUAAGAGGUAAAGAUUAUGUGAAAUUUAAUUGUCAGCAUUAAUAAAUAAAGCGCAUCCGUUUACGAAUUGUUUAUGACUGCUUUCGUACUGCAAUGGCAGAGUUGAGUAGCUGUGACAAAGACCUUAUGGCCAGCAAAGCCAAAAAUAUUUACUAUCUGGCCCUUUACAGAACAAAGUUUGCAAAUUCCUGCACUAGAGCAUGGUCUCAUUGAUUCAUCUGCAUCUUUUAUAACACUUGGCGAUAAUAGCUAACACUCAUUCAGUACCUACUGUGUGCCCAGCACUGUUCUGCAUGCUUUGCAUGUCUUAGUCUUACAACAACUCUCCAUGAGGGAGAUACUAUUAUUUAUCCCCAUUUUGCAGGUGGGGAAAACUGAGGUGCAGAGCAGUAAGUAAUAUGUCAAAAGUCACAUACCUAAGAAGUGGCCAGGUUAGAAUUUGGACCCAGGUGGUCCAUGCUCACUACCACUCUGCUAUACUGCUACUUAAUAAAUGUUUGUGUAGAUUAGUCAUCUCAAGUUUCCUUCAGGGCCCAGAAUCUGGGUGGACGUCAGGGCAGUUCUUCCCCAGACUCCAGAGAGUCAGGUAAACAGUUCUGUUCCAUGGAAAUAUUCAUUACUGGCUCUUGUGAGCUACCCUUCACUUGGGUCUCGGUGGGGAGGAAGAGUUGGAGGCGGUAAAGGGAGGAGAGAGGGGAUGGGGCGGGGUGGUUAGGGGGUGGGGCAGGCACACAUUUCUUGUAAAUGUUACUCAGCUCCUUCAACUGCUCUGCUGGUUCUUGGAAACCCUUACCACAAAGGACCCAUCGAGAACAGUGUUAAAGCAGAUAUGGCCUCAUCCCCAGUUCAUUUCCUGCCCAGCCUUGCACUAGUAACUCCGAUUGCCAAGAGCAAGGUUGCAGUGACCCCUCAGCAUCGCUGUGGGAGGAAGUGCAAAAAUAAGCAGAACUAGGGUCAAGCUGAGAGGACAGUCUUUAUUUUUAUUUACUGUAACAAGACAUCUGAUGUACAGAACUGGGUUAAUCAUAAUCCUUGGUUCAUGAUAUAGUCUCAUCCUUCGUUCAAGCCUGGCCUGCUGUUAUAUUAUACUGGGUGGUGAAUCCCAUUCAAGAAGCAGACAUCAGCAAUAACAUCCAUCUACCUAUAUGAUCCUUUCUUAGUCCAUUCCUUGCCUCUCCCAGACAUAACCUGCUGUCCUGAAUGUUGUGCUUAGCAUUCUUUUACAUUUCUUAAAAAAAGUUUUUAUUUCAUAGCCAUGUGUUCCUAAAUUAUGUAGUGUUUCGUUUCCGUUCUUCUUGAACUUUAUAAAAAGAUUAUCAGGCAGGUAUGUAGUGAUCUGCAACUUGCUCUUUUUACUCAACAUUAUGUUAUAAAGAUUCAUGCAUGUUUUAGCACGUGUUUCAUUUUCACUCUAGAAUAUUCCAUCGUAUGGACAGGCAUUUGGGUUGUGGUCGUUGGAGGCCAGUCUUUAGGGUCCCCUUGAGUAAGUUACUUAGGAGGUCGGCACAUACAGCCAGGUAUAGCCCUUGCCCCAUACCCCAGGGUAAGAGCCAGGGACUGUGGAGCCAUUCCAGAUUUAUCCACGGAGCAUCUACGGUGCACCGGGCACCACGCUGUAAACGCUGAGAACUCCUUUUUCAUGCGUGAGUGGGCAGAAUCAGGCUUUUCUCGGGGUUUAACGUGAUGCCAGCAAAUAGACAAAUGUCACAGCAAAGCAAAGAUCCGACGUUGCCUGGGGUCCAGUGGGAUCUAUGGAUCUGGCAGUUACAGUUGUGACUGUUGUGAAUGGUGCAGGGAUGAUGAUAUGGUGAGGUGUGUGUAUGUGUGCAAAUAUGUGUAUCUUUGGUGUGUGUGGUGAAGCAUGGUGGUGUAUACGUAUUUGCGUGUGUGUGUGUUCAUGUGAAUGUAGAGUAUAGCGCGUGCAGGUGUGGGUGUUGUAUAUGUGUAAGUAUGUGUUGUGCCUCGGUACAUACACACUCAUUCUUUAUUUUAAUUAAAAUUUUUUUAUUUUCUUAUUUUUUUAUUUUUGGCUGUGCUGGGUCUUCCCUGCUGCACGCGGGCUUUCUCUAGUUACAGGGAGUGGGGCCUACUCUUCAUUGCAGUGCAUGGGCUUCUCACUGCAGUGGCUUCUCUUGUUGCGGAGCACAGGCUCUAGGCACGCAGGCUUCAGUAGAUGCGGCGCGUGGGCUUCAGUAGUUGUGGCUCACGGGCUCUAGAGCGCAGGCUCAGUAGUUGUGGCUCACGGGCUUAGUUGCUCCACGGCAUGUGGGAUCUUCCCGGACCAGGGCUCGAACCCAUGUCCCCUGCAUUGGCAGGCGGAUUCUUAUCCACUGCGCCACCAGGGAAGUCCCCACACUCAUUCUUGGAGGUACUACCUGCUUCCCCACCUGGACUAAAGAGUCACAUUUCUUCACCCCAUGGCCUGCUGCCUCUUUUCCUACCUUUGCCCUGGUUCUAUCCUCUGCCCCACUCCCUUCUCUCACCUCUCUUCACCUCUUACCUUCUUCUCGAUCUUCAACUCAGAUCCCUCCUCCCAGAACCACCCACCCAAUUCUCUUUCUUCCUCUUCCCAGCUCCUCCUCCAGAUGGCCAAUCCCAAUAUACCUUUGAGAUCUCAUCCUUAUUUAACCUUGCAAUCUUCAUAAAACUGUUGGCCACCCACUGGUUUCAUAACUCCUGGUUUGCCUUCCACUCCUCUGUCGAUUAGGCCCCAUUUCCUCUCCCUCUCCUUGCCCUUUAAACUUGGGUGUUCUUUCCCUUCCUCACCCCCAAGCCCUCUGUGUUGGCCAGGAUCCUGGCAGGAAACAGAUGGCACACUCAGAUUGGGUAAUGCAGGGAAGAGUGUGAAAAAGAACUAUUUACAAAGGUGUGGGGCAGGUGCUGGGAAACCACAUGGGGCAGUGCUGUACCCUGGGGCUAGCAGCAGUGGGAGCACUUCCUCGCUCAGGCCUGAGGGCUGGAGGAGGAGCCCUGCCUGAUGUGAGCUGUAACCUUCAUUCGGGAGAAGCGGUCACCCUGUGCUAACCCUGCAUGGAGGGAGUGAGAAAGAAAUACCCGUGCUUCUCUCUUCCCAUCCUCUGAUCUCCUACCAGGGCCUCCCAUGGACUGAACCCAGCUGAAAGCCAGAAGGCAGGGAGUCUGGUGUGAGGCAGUCCACAUAGGUCAGCCUUUCCAGGCACAGAGCAAGCUGGAGAAGGGUGGGGAAUAGCUCUGGAGGCCAAGGGAAGACGCCCAGCAUGGCCGCCGCUGUAUUGUGCUUCCUCCCCUGGCUUCACGGACCGUCUUCUUCAUGGUGAUUGCCACAACUCCUGCAUAGACCUCUCUCUUGAGUUCAGGCCUGGGGAUCAAUAGCCUCCUAGAUACCACUGCCCAGGGGCUCCCAGGAACCCAGGAACUGAAUAUCACUUGAGUGCCUGCAGGAAAAUGAUGGAGACCUUCCCAACCCCUGAAUUCCACCCUGCCACUGCUCACCUCUCAGCUCCGCUCGUGAAGUUCCUUGGAGACACAGAUGCCCACAUAUUUUCUAGCUGUGGACACAUGACAAAGUUCUGCCCAGUGAAAAAGAAGCAAAAGAGUUUUGGGAGCAGAUUCCAAGGAAAUUCCUUAAGAGACAUCUGGUAUGCACCCUUCCCCUUUGGAUGGAAGGAGGAGCUAUUAUGGGAAGAGGGUCAUGUGGUUGUGGGGAGGGGAUACAUGCAGAGUAAGCAAAAGUAAAGAGCUCCUUCAGGCCACUCCAUUCAUCCAAGCCCUCAUCACUAUCAUUUUAUUUUAUGGCAAGCUUUUACUAUUUCACCAGAAAAAUAUUUUCCCCUUAAGUGAGUGAUUUUUUGUAAAUGUAUGGUGUCUUUAAAUAUAUUUCAUUGUAUCUUGGAGACCAGUGUCUGCCCUCUCACGCCCCUCAUGACACAUCUCUCCAAUUUUAUAACACAAGUCAGUUAAAAAGUGAAAUUUGAUAUCAAGCCGAGUCUCAUUUACUUAUACCGAUUCAUGGGGGAAAUUAUACGGUAAUAUGAAUAAUCUAAAAUAAAAGAUAAAAUGUAUAUUUGGCCCUGGAAUGUAUGCCUUAAUCUAACACAUUUUCAUUGAUGGAGAGAGGAAGGGAAUGAACGUUCUUUUUGAAACCAACUUUAUCGAGGGAUCAUUUACAUAUACUAACUCGCACCUAUUUUAAGUGCACUGUUCCAUGUGUUUUGACAAACGUACACGCCCAUAUAAACACUACCACAAUCAACAUAGAAUAUUUCCACCCCCACAAAAGUUCCCUUGGCCUUUUUCCUUGAUUACCCAACCCACCCCCACUAGCCCUAGGCAACCACUGAUCUAGUUUCUGUCACUAUAGAUUAGUUUUGCCUGUUCUAGAAUUUCAUUUAAAUGGUGUCAUACAGCAUGUCAUUUUUGAGCAUGACCAUUUAUUGGGUGCCUAGCAUGUGACAGACACUUUACAAGUGCGUAAUCAUUUCUCUUUUAGAGAUAAGAAAACCAAGACUUAGAAGUUAAAUAAUUUACCCAGGUCACAUGGCUAGUAUAGUCAGAUGCUCAAGUCCCUUAUAGAAAACAGCAUGGUAUUUGCAUGUAACCUACACAUAUCCUCCCAUAUACUUUAAAUCAUCUCUAGAUUACUUUUAACACUUAAUAUGAUGCAAAUGUUAUGUAAAUAGUUGUAAAUACAAUGUAAAUGCUAUAUAAAUAGUUACCAGUGCAGCAAAUUCAAGUUUUGCUUUUUGGAAUUUUAUGGAAUUUAUUUUCUUCCCAAAUAUUUUCUAUCUGCAUUUGGUUGAAUCCUCGGAUGUGAAACCCGUGGAUACGGAGGGCUGACUGUAAAUGGCAGAGUAGAAUCCUAAGUUUAUCUGACUCCAAAUUUAUGGUCCCACCUUACACACCACACUGCUGCUGCCCUUGGUUUUACAGAGACCCUAAAAGAUGAAUAUAUUAGGGGCAGAUGUAAGGUCAAAGUUUACAAUCUUAUGAAAAGGUGAGAGUAAGGCACACAGAACAACUGGAGAACAGACAAGAAGAUACAUAAUAAAAUGUCAAAAUAUAUUGUGGUUACACAAUAAAAUACACACCAAAAAUAUGUUGUCUACGUUGUACAGAUACAAAUAGCCACAUAAGGAGAGAAUGAAGAGAAGAGAAUGUUGGCUGAAGAUGUCAUGGCAGGUUCUUAGUGGGGCAAGAUUAUCUGCCACCCUAGGCAUAUACUUCAGACAAAAUCAUGGAGCUGAGCCAGGAGAAUCUGACUCAGCAGGGCCAGAUCUCAGGUCUUCUUCCUUCCUGUCUGGUCAAAUCCAUGUUGGAAUCUGAAGUUUAGGAAAUUAUAAUUUAAUAAGGCAAACACAAGAGUCCCCAAAUCCCAGAACAGUAGCGUUAGAAGGGCAGCUGGGAUGCUUCAAGGAGUUUAAGGACAAGUCAAAAGAAGAACAACAAUUCUCCAGCUUCCAUAGGGUCAUGUUUCAAAAGUUUAUCACUUGUUUGAAAUUCAACACAUCUUUUCAGAGAAACCACAUUACAAAUGGAGGUUGGUCUCUCAGAUCUGCCCUCAAAUGCUGAGUUAACACAUGAGGUGGCCGAAAUACUAUACAACCACUAUGAAAACAAUACUGUGGCAAUCCUAGAACUCAGAAAAAGCAGUGGAUUGUGGACUCAUAGACAGCUUGACCUGUUGUCUAGACCUCCCUCCUACCCAGUACAGCGAUCAGCUCCACCAUACCCCUGUCUGUAGGCAUUCAUUCUACCUUAGCUGAGUCCAUCCUCCUUGCAAGAGAGAAAAUUCUUCCUUGUUUCAAGCUGAAGUUUGUCUUAUGCUACCUUUCCUUCCUUGGUCCUAGUUCCACUCUCUAACUCUACAUGAAACUGAUCACUUUCCCAUUUAACAAGUCUUCAAAAGGUUUAUGGGUAUUCGUUUUACUAUUUUUUUCAACCUUUCUUUCAGUUUGAAGUCUUUCUUAAUAAGAAGUUGCAGGAAAUUUUUGAAAAAAUAAAUUCAAGUGUUUGUCACCUCAGUAAAUAUUUUCUCUCUCAAAUUGGCAAGGACUGAAUAUAGUAAUCAAGAAAGAUUACUGGCCUACUUGAAAAAAAAAAUGUGACUACAAAGUACCCAGCUAAUUAGACAUCUGUCAGGGGUAAGAAAAUGACAGAAGAGCCAGCCAACUUCAGCACUUGGAUGACGGGCAGAAGCCUAAAACAAAAACCUUUUUUCUAGGAUGCUGUCAGGAAUAUUUGAAAUUAUGUCAAAGAAAGUAUAGGGUGGCGGGACUUCCCUGGUGGCGCAGUGGCUAAGAAUCCGCCUGCCAAUGCAGGGGACAUGGGUUCGAUCCCUGGUCUGGGAAGAUCCCACAUGCCACGGAGCAACUAAGCCCAUGUGCCACAACUACUGAGCCUGCACUCUAGAGCCUGCGAGCCACAAUACUGAGCCCAUGUGCCACAACUACUGAAGCCCGCGUGCCUAGAGCCCGUGCUCCACAACAAGAGAAGCCACGACAAUGAGAAGACCGCGCACUGCCAUGAAGAGUAGCCCCGCUCGCCGCAACUAGAGAAAGCCCGCACACAGCAACGACAACCCAACACAGCCAAAAAAUAAAUUAAUUAAUUUAAAAAAAAAAGAAAGUAUAGGGUGGGCCAGGUACAUAGAAGGUGCUACUAAAUACUGUCAGUUUUUGUCAUUCACGGUAGCUGUGUUCUAUAAAGUUGCUGCAAACACUGAAUUAGUGAAUAGUGAAUCACUACUCUUAGGGGAAAUACAGGGUUAGGUUCCUGUGAGCCUUUGGGCACAAACAUUUCAGGUGUGCUUCGUGUCAUUUAAUAUAUAUUAUUGACCCAUUCACAUUAAACUCAUGGCCAACAGUCCUAUAAUUCAUGCCUGAGGGAAGCUUAUCUAGCACAUGGGGGCAGUUUUAAACAGCAGAGUCACCAACAAUAAGCACAAAAAUGCCAAAAGCAUGGCACUAAAUUUACCACAAAAGGACACUUGUUUACAGUAUGAUAGCUGAAACAUGAAGGCAGCAUCACCUUACCCCACCUUAGCUGGCAGUGUUGGGCAAGUCAUGCAUGGUGGGUGACAAAUUUUUUGACAAUUUGCAUACAUCUAAAAUUACCAUGAAAGCACUGUGAAUAUUGAUUUGUGGAUCACAAAUAAGUUUUAGCGAGAAGGCAAAUUGACAAAUACAGAAUCCACAGAUAAUAAAGAUUAAUUUUAUCAUGAUAUGGAUGGUUGAAGUCCUUGGUGAUUAAGGAGUUUUUGUUUUCAUUUGUUUAUUUAUUUAUUUUUGCAUUUAACUUUUCUUUCAUAUACUUUAUUUCUUUGGAGAAUCAUGAGGUCAGCAAGGUAGAUGGUCUUAUCCUCAUUUCAUAGAUGUUGAGUGGCAGAGACAAGACGAGAACUAAGUCUUUAACCUUCUGUCUGUCCACUCCAAGUGGGUUUUAGUUUCAGUUACCACAAAAUGUAAUUAUUCAAGCCUACUCAACUGCCACUCAGUUUUGACAUCUUCAAAUUUCUAGUCAUCUAGAUACUCAGUUAA